CCAUGUUGCCCAGGUUGGUCUUGAACUCCUGGGCUCAAGUCAUCUGUCCAGCUCAGCCUCCCGAGGUGCUGGGGCUACAAGGCUUGAGCCACCUUGCCCAGCCCAGGAAUGCUAAUUUUUUCUCAGAAAGAAGUUCUGCCCUGAUCACGUUCUUUUCCAGUGCUUUCAAGGAACUAAGCAGAACUCAGAAGAAAGCUCUUCUAAAGCAGAUCUACACCCUGAAGUGGCUGCAGAGAGCAGCCUCCAGAACUGGUGUCUGUGGCAGCUAAGACUUCCACAGUGCAGAGCCUGUGGCAGGUCUGGCCAGGAUGGGUGGAGAGGCAGCCAUCAUUGCACAGGUCCAAGAGCUUGAGGAAUGCAAGGUCUGUGUGUGAACUCAUGAGUAGGUCAUAGUCCAGCCUUUCAGGGCGGGGCAGGGGUAACAAACCCAGGAAGAGAUGACAGACACCAAACUAAUUGCACCAUUUUGCAAAUCUCAUUCAGCCAGGUCCAGAGGAAUGGAUGUUGGAGGAAAAUGAUUGUAAAUCCGGUGGAACUGAGAAAAUCACCCUGGGUCCUGGACUGGAGGGGCUGGUGGGCUGUUUGGGAGGGACUGCUUGUGCUCUGUUUCUUAAAACCAAGGCUCGUGCAGCCCCGGGGAAGGAAGGUAACAGACUAGAAACUCCAUGGCUUACUGGGGAAAAGGCAUCCAAAGCCCGAUGGAGACAAGGAUAUACAGUGCUCCGUCUGCCCUGCUGUCACCUAACUGUCCUGGGAGAUGUCCUGCAGGACACCCCUCACCAAGACGUUAAGGGGCUUACUGUGAGGUGGGGAGGGGAGUGACAACACCCUUGGAAACUCAGAAGGCCACUGCGGACGAAGGGGACAAAGCUGCCAAGAAACCGAGUGAGGAGAUCCUGGGGCGGCACAAGCCGCAUGGCCGGCCAGGCAGGCGAGGUCACUGUGCUGGGCAAGCAGAGUGGUGUGGCCUCACAGACCUUGGACUCCUUUGACAAGGAGUUUCCCUCCAGGACAAAAGCAGAGGGCAGCACAAGGGUGAAGGUUCGGCAGUGAUGGAAAAACCCUGGGUCUCAGGCCUGGCCUUGGUCACAGUCCAGGAGGGUUGAAGUUCUUCUUGCAAUUCCUGGAUAUGAGUCAUUCCCAGACCCUCUGCUAGAGGGACACAUCUGACGGAAACACCCAAGGCUGCAGAUGGCUUCCCCCAGCCUCCCCCGAAGGGAGGCAAAGCCCUUGGCAGGAUGGCUGUGCACUGGAGGAAGGGAUUGCUGGGCACUGGCUCUGAGGUGAUGCUACUUCCCAGACACUGUGAUGUCUCCACAGUCCCCUGAUCAGAGGAGGGCUUUGGAAGUUAGGUUAGACAUGCUUCCGGGUCACAGCCCAUCUCACAAUGGACACAUGAUAGUAAUAACAGACAUGACUAAUUUGGAGGUAAAAAACAACAUGGACAAAAGCCAGGAUGAGAGAAGCAACUGGAGGUUAAGUAUUCUAAAUUCUUUUUGUUACACAGAAGGAAUAUAGAGACACUAAUUAACUUUAGACCUUGUUAAUUAUGCAUGUGGAAAGUUUAUAAAAAUGACAGAAAAUGCAUGAAUUCCAAACCAAUGGGAGUUGGAGGAAAGGGGAAUAAAGAAAACUUGAUAAAUCCAAUAGAGGCAGAAAGAAAAAAGCAGCAUAGAGGAAAAAGUGCAAACCAACAGCACAAAAUAAGAUGGUAAAAAUCAGUUAAAGCAUAUCAUUAAUUACAACAUACAUACUAUUUAAAAUUGAAAAUUGUCAGACUGGGUCAAAAAAAAAAUCUAGCUGUAUAUGCUAUUUGCCAGAAGCACACUGAAGAAUAUAAAACAGAAAGGAUAAAAGGAAAACAAUGGAAAGAGAUAUAUGAGGCCAUGAAGAAGUGUGUUGUAGCUAUCUUCACUGUUGGAAAAAAUAAAAUUAAGACAAAAGGCUUAAUUAAAGAGUGGUCUUAUAUAAUGAUAAAAGGAUGAAUUUAUCAGGAAGCUGUAAUAAUUCUAAGCUUGUUAGCAUUUAAUGACAAAGUCUAUAAAACCAAAACUGGCAAAAUUUAAAGAAGAGACUGACAAAGCCACAGCCACAGCAGAGAUUUGAACACAUCUCUCUCAGUCAUUUAUAAAUCAAGCA